GUAAAUAUAGUUUAACAAAAACACUAAAUUGUGGAUUUAGAGUUAGGGAAUUAAUCCCCUUACAUACC
rnacentral:tRNA from 1 species